rnacentral:tRNA from 1 species
AAGGCUUUAGCUUAAUUAAAGUAUCUGCUUUGCAUGCAGAAGAUGUGGGGUAAUAUCCUGCAAGUCUUA